rnacentral:rRNA from 1 species
AGCGAACGCUGGCGGCAGGCCUAACACAUGCAAGUCGAACGAACCUUUCGGGGUUAGUGGCGGACGGGUGAGUAACACGUGGGAACGUGCCUUUAGGUUCGGAAUAACUCAGGGAAACUUGUGCUAAUACCGAAUGUGCCCUUCGGGGGAAAGAUUAAUCGCCUUUAGAGCGGCCCGCGUCUGAUUAGCUAGUUGGUUGAGGUAAUGGCUCACCAAGGCGACGAUCAGUAGCUGGUCUGAGAGGAUGAUCAGCCACAUUGGGACUGAGACGCGGCCCCAACUCCUACGGGAGGCAGCAGUGGGGAAUCUUGCGCAAUGGGCGAAAGCCUGACGCAGCCAUGCCGCGUGAAUGAUGAAGGUCUUAGGAUUGUAAAAUUCUUUAACCGGGGACGAUAAUGACGGUACCCGGAGAAGAAGCCCCGGCUAACUUCGUG